rnacentral:rRNA from 1 species
AGUGAACGCUGGCGGUAGGCCUAACACAUGCAAGUCGAACGGCAGCACAGUAAGAGCUUGCUCUUACGGGUGGCGAGUGGCGGACGGGUGAGGAAUACAUCGGAAUCUACUUUUUCGGGGGGGAUAACGUAGGGAAACAUACGCUAAUACCGCAUACGACCUACGGGUGAAAUCAGGGGAGCUUCGGACCUUGCGCGACUGAAUGAGCCGAUGUCGGAUUAGCUAGUUGGCGGGGUAAAGGCCCACCAAGGCGACGAUCCGUAGCUGGUCUGAGAGGAUGAUCAGCCACACUGGAACUGAGACACGGUCCAGACUCCUACGGGAGGCAGCAGUGGGGAAUAUUGGACAAUGGGCGCAAGCCUGAUCCAGCCAUACCGCGUGAGUGAAGAAGGCCUUCGGGUUGUAAAGCCCUUUUGUUGGGAAAGAAAAGCAGCAGAUGUAUCCCCCGCUGUUCUGACGGUACCCAAAGAAUAAGCACCGGCUAACUUCGUG